UAUAGGUGGGAGGCUAAGAAGAUAUAUUUGCGGAUAUAUUAGAGCCAACAAUGAGAUACCACUCUUGAUAAACUARAAUUYUAAUUUUGAAUGCCAUCAGCUGGCCAAAAAACAGUUCCAGGUGGGCAGUUUGACUGGGGCGGUCGCCUCCUAAAAAGUAACGGAGGCGUGCAAAGGUUUCCUCAGGCUGGUCGGAAAUCAGUCGUAGAGUGUAAAGGCAUAAGGAAGCUUGACUGCAAGACUUACAAGUCGAGCAGAGACGAAAGUCGGCCUUAGUGAUCCGACAGUACCGAGUGNAAGGGCU
rnacentral:rRNA from 1 species